UACGGGGGGGGCGAGCGUUGUUCGGAAUUAUUGGGCGUAAAGAGCGUGUAGGCGGCCAGACAGGUCCGUUGUGAAAACUCGAGGCUCAACCUCGAGACGCCGAUGGAAACCGUCUGGCUAGAGUCCGGAAGAGGAGAGUGGAAUUCCCGGUGUAGCGGUGAAAUGCGCAGAUAUCGGGAAGAACACCCGUGGCUAAGGCGGCUCUCUAGUACGGUACUGACGCUGAGACGCGAAAGCGUGGGGAGCGAACAGG
rnacentral:rRNA from 1 species